rnacentral:lncRNA from 1 species
UACUAAUGUGAUAUUCAAAGAUCGGUGUGCUCAAAGCACUUGAUUAGAUAAUUAACUAAUUAAUUAAAUUUAAUUUUAAUGAUGCACUUAUGAUUUAAUCACACUAUUUAAUGCUCUAAUCUCAGGGUUUUAUAUUCUCGUGCUUCAAUAUCUCCUUUGCUUUACAUAUGAUAAAUAAGGUCAAAGAUUAACGGAAUAAAACACAUAUAUGGUACAAAAGCAUCUAUUGAAAGAAAUUCACCCUCAAAAUAUUCUCUAAAAAUAAUAUCUCCUAUUCUGAUUAUUGAAAUACUCCUACCACUAUCUAAAGUACUUAUUGAAAUUUGCGUUAUGAAUAAUUCUACAAAAAAA